GGCUCGCAGGAGGGCGGGGCGGAGGAGGUGAAUGGAGCCGCAGGUAGCGCUGGAACAAAGCGGCUCCACUCGAGCCGCGCGCGUGCGCAGGGACUGCCGCGCUUUUCCUACCGAGCCAGUGUCAUCUGCCCGGGGAGGGAAUUAGCGGCUAAGCCCUGCUGUCCGCCGGAUCCGUUUUCUGCAGGCGGAGUGUCCUAACUUCCUUGCGGUUUAACCCUCCCACUCUGCCUGAGUCUGGUCGGCAAACAGCCACUAGCUUCUACCUACCCCUAGCUGGAGGGAGUCGGGGUCAGAGGCGGGGCCGGAGGUGCUUGAGAUUUGCCGAAGGGAGGGCUUCUGGAACCCGGAGGAUUUGAGCUUUCCUCUGACAGGAAGGCAUGAAGAGGGGCGGCGCUGGAGCAGUCCCCACUUCCCCCAGUCUUCCAUGUGGAGGUUGAAGGGUUUCCAGAGCCACAGGGCUGUGUCUCAAAGGAGCAAGGGUCUCUCCCACAGUCACACUCAGAAACUCCAGAGCACUGCAGCCAGAGAUGGUCUUAACCACCCGGGACUCUUCCAGGAGGCAUGCACACGCUAGAGGAGAGACCUGUGAGGAUGUGUGGAAAUAGAGAAACUCUCCAGGAGGUGGGGGCGUCCUCCAGCAGGGAUGUAAGAAGAGGCAGCGUUCAGAUGACUACAGGAUGAGGGGGGCACCGAGAAGAGGGUGACGUUAGAAGCAAAGGAGUGGAAGAGAAUUAGUAUGGCAGUAUGAGCUGCCAGCAAGGUUGUGGGCUCCCGUCACUCAGCUUGGAGGAGUAGCCCAAAGCCUUGGUUCCCGAGUGGAAGCCCUGCCUCCAGUCUUGAACAGCUAAUAAAGUGGAUCAUAGCAGG